AAGAUUUUAAGUUAAUUUAAACUAGUAGCCUUCAAAGUUAAAAAUACUUUAAGGGUAAAUCUUA
rnacentral:tRNA from 1 species